UUGUCAAAUCUGAUUCUUUAAUUAAUUUGCUAAUCUCAAAUUAAACACUUAUUCUUCUAUGUUCUAUGGUUUAUUUAUAUAAUAAAUACAGAGCUCUCUGUACGCUUUAUUUAUAUAAUAAACACUUGAUCACUGCUUUCGAGGAAGAGAGCAAGAAGCAUCAUGUGAAGUUGUCUGGAAGACCAAUAAGCAUUUCAAGUCAACUUACUUUUGCUAAACAUAAUAUCAUCUCCACACUAACUUCUACCACUUCAUUACCCUUUUGUGUUUGUGAGAGAUCUCAGUUUGAGUGCACUUCCUUACCUUUCAUACUUUCUUGAUCUUCUGAACAUGGCUGCUGCACUUGUUGGAGGAGCUUUCCUCUCUUCUUUUCUCAAUGUUCUUUUCGACAGGCUCUCCGAUCCUGAGAUUAUCAACUUGAUCCGAGGGAAGAAGCUUAGCGAGAAGAUGAUCCAGAGGUUCAAGACAAUCCUGAAUGCUGCUAAGGCCUUACUGAAUGAUGCUGAGCAGAAACAAAUCAGAGAGGGGCCAGUGAAGGUCUGGCUGGAUGAUCUCAAAGACGCUCUCUAUGAGGCUGACGACUUCCUGGAUGAAAUCGCCACCAAAGCUGCAACUAAGAAGGAUCAAGGUAACUGCCUAACUCGCUUUCUGAAUUUGAAAGAUAGAAAGAAGGUUACUAGGAUGGAAGAUGUCAUUGGUAGGCUAGAGUCCAUAGUGAAUCAAAAAGAUACUCUUGGCCUGAAAGAGAUACCAAUGGAGCACAUGUCAUGGAGAACUCCAUCCACGUCUCUCGUUAAGGUGUCUGAUAUAUAUGGCAGGGAUGAAGAUAGGAAAGCCUUAGUCAAAUUGUUGUUAGAUGAUGCUAAUGAUGGUGACGUGUCCGUGAUCCCCAUCGUUGGCAUGGGUGGGAUAGGAAAAACAACUUUGGCUCAAUUAGUUUACAAUGAUGAGCAAGUGCAGCAAAAGUUUAAUGUUAAAGCAUGGGUUUGUGUUGGUGAAGUAUUUGAUGUUGUUAAGGUGACAAAGACUGUAGUGGAGAAAGCUACUUCUGCUUCUUGCAACAUGAAUGAUUUAGAUUCAGUUCAACAACGUUUGAGGACUGACGUAACAGGGAAGAGGUUUUUGGUUGUUCUGGAUGACAUGUGGACCAAUUAUUAUGAUGAUUGGAAAACUUUUCUAAGUCCCUUCCAAUGUGGAAGUCAGGGAGGAAAGAUUCUUGUAACAACCCGCAUUGAUGCUGUUGCUUCUAUGGUGAAAACUAUUCCAGCUCACAAUUUGAGUUUGUUGGAUGAUGAACAAUGUUGGUCGGUGUUUGAAAAUCAUGCAUUCUUUCCUACUGAUUCCCGAGAUCGUUCGGCUUUGAAAGAAGUUGGUAGAAAAAUUGUUGAGAAGUGCAAAGGACUGCCUUUGGCUGCUCGAUCUCUUGGGGGCUUGCUGAGAUCCAAGGAUAACAUAAGGGAUUGGGAAGAUGUUUUGAUGAGUGAGAUUUGGGAGUUUUCUGAAAAAGAGUGUAGGAUUCUUCCUGCAUUAAGUAUCAGCUAUCACUACCUCCCCUCGUAUUUAAAACGUUGCUUUGUUUAUUGUUCUUUAUAUCCAAAGGACUACGAAUUUAACAAAGAUGAAUUAGUGCUAUUAUGGAUGGCAGAAGAUCUUUUGCAACAACCAAAAGGUGGAAGUUUUUUAGAAGAAGUUGGAUAUAAAUACUUCAAUGAUUUAGCUGCACGAUCGUUCUUUCAACCUUCAAAGAAUGGUUAUGAAGAUUCAUUUGUGAUGCACGAUCUCAUGCAUGAUCUAGCGACAUUUUAUGGUGAAAAGUUCUUUGUUAGAAUCUCUGAACACGAGAAUGUAGCCCAACAUGAUACUAAAGCUCGUCAUUUGUCAUAUGAUCUCAACGACAAUAAUUCAGUCCCGAAGAUGUUGGAAGCAUGUAAGAGUUUAAGUCAUGUGAGGACCCUGUUUCAAAUCAAUGAAUAUAUACACCGUCUAAACAAAGAGGGAAUUAAUCCUUGUAGCUUACUGGCACAGUUGAAGCGCUUACGUGUUUUGUCAUUUACAUCAUUUAAAAUUGAUAGAUUGCAUGAUUCAAUUGGUGAAUUGAUCCACUUGCGUUAUUUGAAUCUCUCUAACACACUUGUCGUGACAUUGCCCAAGUCCUUGAAUAAUUUGUACAAUUUACAAACAUUGAAGUUGGCAGAGUGUAACAAACUUAAAAAGCUUCCAUCCAAGAUGCAAGAUCUGGUAAAUUUGCGUCAUCUUGAUAUUGAGGGCACUGAUUUAGAAGAGAUGCCAAAAAAGAUGAGCAAAUUAAAAGAUUUGCAAUUUUUAAGUGACUAUAUUGCGGGCAAACAUGAAGAGAAUGGGAUUGGAGAACUGGGAGAACUAACACAUCUUCAUGGCUCAUUGUGGAUUAAGAAACUAGAGAAUGUUAAGAAUAGUGGUGAAGCAUCGAAUGCAAGGAUGGAUGAAAAAAUACACCUGAAUGCUUUACAAUUGAGUUGGUCAUUAUUUGAAGAAAGUGAGGUUUGUGAUUCCCAAAGUGAAAAAGAUGUACUUGACAAAUUACGUCCUCACAAAGACUUGAAGAAGCUAUCCAUCAGUUGUUACAGAGGUACGAUGUUUCCGGAUUGGGUAGGGCAGUCUUGGUACCACAACAUGACUUGGUUGGAGCUGAGUGGAUGCAGGAAUUGUUGGGUGAUUCCUUCACUUGGACAGUUACCCUCUCUGCAGAGUCUAAUCAUUAGCGAGCUCGACAAGGUGAAGAAGAUUGGUGGGUCAUUCUAUAAGGGUGAUGGAACUCAUCAGCAUCAGCAGACACCCUUCCCAUCCCUUAAAUUUCUCAUUAUUCAAACAAUGCCUUGCUUGGAGGAAUGGGAGUCAUAUGAAUGUGAUGAUGAUGAUCAUGCACCAUUUCCGAAACUUGAACAACUUCGGAUACACAACUGUCCUAAGUUAAGAGGAGAUUUGCCCACUUUCCUUCCGUCUUUGAAAUCACUCCACAUUAGAGGAUGCGAGGAGAUUGGUUGUUAUCUGCCAAGAGCUCCCAUCCUACGUGAAUUAAAAAUAUAUGGCAAACAGGAAGCAAGAAUGCGGGACCAACCACUUUCCAUGUUGGAGAAAGUAGUAAUUAAUGGAGAGCAGCAGGUGGAGUAUGUGUUAGAGGCCAUGACCCACACCCAACCAACCUCUCUCAGUUAUUUACAGAUCUCAGAGUGCUCAUCAGCCAUAUCAUUUCCAGGGGAUUCUUUGCCCCCUUCAUUGAAAGAGCUGUACAUCUACAAUUGCAAGAAUGUAGAAUUCCCAAUGCAACACCAACAACAUCACUCGCUACAGAGAUUACAAAUACACAACAGCUGUGAUUCGCUUACAUCCUUCGCAUUCCCACCGUUCCCAAAUCUCAAGCAUCUGACAAUCGCAAGACGUGAAAAUUUGACAUCUCUGGAGCUGUCACUGUCACAGUCCCUCCAAGUCUUAUGGAUUGAAAAAUGCCCUAAGCUGGAGAACAUAAUAAGGCUGCCUGCCUCUUUAAGGGAACUCAAAAUCAGAGAAUGUGGGUUGUUGGGUGAAGGCAUAGAGAGGAAGGACCCCCACAUUUGGCCAUCCAUUUCCCACAUCCCUCAAAUUUAUGUUGAUGGGAAAUGGAUUCAGCGGCAAUGAGUCAACAUCUUAAAACAGGGACAUUGAAUGAUUCUUCUGGGACUUAUCAAUAAUGUUACGUUUCUCCUAUAUUUUGCUUUUCUUUUCUUUUUUUUAUGCAAUGUUUAUUAGAAGCUUGUUUUGUUAAUUCAAGGAUCAUACCUUGAGAAUGAUGAAAUAUUUCCCUUCCAUUUUUUACCUUUUCUAUUAAUGCUUUUUCUAUUUUUUUUCCUUAUUUCAAUCAGCUACUUUUGCACCAUGCCUUGUCUAACACCCAAAUGGAAGGCCUUUCAUUACCUUUCUUAGUGUUGCUCCUGCUUGCUUGCCUGUGGCCUUUGUUGGAUUUGCAAGAAACAAAUUGAAGCGAAGUUGGAGUAAGCUCAAUUUGGAGAGCAAGGGAGUCUGGUCAAGAAUGAUUUCAUGAGGUGUGGUCUCUGCAUCAAUACAAAAGCUGAAUUCAUGGAAGACAUCAUCCUCAUACAAAAUCAAAAGAAUAAAUAGAUGAUGUAGAACAGAAUUUCGCCAAGAGCGAUAGAUCAAUCAAAAUGCAACAAGAGCACCUUCAAUGAUAAGGAUACAGUUGGAGCAGCCUGUCAAAAAUAGGCAGAAAGUGUACAAACUUUGCAAUGUUCAAAGAAAAAAGGAAGGAAAAACUUAGUAAUAUAUUUUGACUGAUAUUGUGCAAUUCUCUUUUUUCUCUUAGGAGUUUUCAUGUCUUCAUCAUUUCAUUCUAUUUUAGGAUAGCUGAUAUGAGUUAUUCUAUUUAUAAGAAACAGAGAGCUUAGAAAGUGAGUAUCAAUUUCUGUCAUGAGAAAGGCAAGAGAGCUAGGAUGUGAGAAUAUCUAGAAAAAGCUAUGAAUGGUGUGUGAAUUGAUAUUUGUAACUUGUAUUCGUUUAUAAUGAAAAAUUCUACCAUUUGUUGUGGUGGAGACUAGAUGUAGAUCUCACUUUUGGGAUUGAACCAGGAUAUAUCGUGAUUUUUUCUAUUAAAGCUUUCAUCCAAAAUAUCAUGAAAAUUGUCAUCUGCA